rnacentral:sRNA from 1 species
AAAAACCAGUUUCUGUAUGUUCAAAAAGACGAAAUCGCUCUACUAAGAUAUAUGGACUUAGAAUGAUGACGUACGAUUCAACUGCGGAUGAAAUGCGAUGCGGUUCUAAUAGUAAUGAAAAAAUAUAU